UCCUAAUGCAGCCACAGUAAUGUGAAGGUCACAAGCCCUUAUAAUGCAGAGUGGGAG
rnacentral:ribozyme from 2 species